UCGACUGCAUGAAGCUGGAAUCGCUAGUAAUCGCGGAUCAGAAUGCCGCGGUGAAUACGUUCCCGGGUCUUGUACACACCGCCCGUCACACCAUGGGAGUCAGUAACGCCCGAAGCCGGUGACCCAACCUAAACAGGAGGGAGCCGUCGAAGGCGGGACGGAUGACUGGGGUGAAGUCGUAACAAGGUACC
rnacentral:rRNA from 1 species